rnacentral:ncRNA from 1 species
GGUUACCCUGGGGGGAACCCGACGAGACGCGCCGUACCGGGUCCGAAGGCAAAGACGACGCACC